CAUAAAUGGCCUUUCUGUGCUCCUGAUUUACAUGCAUUGGACCAUCUCCAUAUGAAGUUCAUCUCCAUAUGAAGUUUUAUGUCCAACACUGGGAAGCGCAUUCAAAAAAGGAAUCAGAGUUCAGAUAAGUGCUACAGAAAGCACCUACAAAACCUGACCUGAAGGAAGAAAGAAAAGUUUUCAUUUCGAAGAAAGAAUCCUGAGAUGUGAAAUGUUGAUAGAGGAAGUUACUAGUAAGUAACUGAAGACCUACUCCAAACCCCACUGAACACAGAAGAAUAACCUGUUGAUUUCUUUCAAAGCUGUGGAAAAGCCUGAAAUCAAAAGCAAAAGAACGUUAAUUAUUACACAAGAUACUGGAUCUCAGUACAUGUCACCUUCGAUCUCACACAUAAAACAACCCUGAGAUUCUCUAGCACAUGGAUGGAAAGGAAAUAGAUGACAAAGUGGACAGUAAAGCAGUCUUCCACCCAGUGCAACUAGGACUGGUCCUGUUUCUUCCUUUUCGACACUUACUCCUCUGAAAAUCCCUGAUGGAAACUGGAUUGUGGAAAGCCCUUAUAAUAGACAGAAACAUCAUGUAGCAGAACUGUACAGGAGCCAUGCAGCACACUGGGUUCUUGAAGGAGUGUGUCUGUACAAUCAAUAAGACAAAUUUAUGAACAUGAUUUGUUCAGUGAAGUAAUUUAAUUGUAUGUAAUAUGAUCAAAAUGGAUUUAGAAAAAAAGAAGUUGGGAACUGGGAAAAGCAGAUGCACGGUAACACAAACGCAAACCAGUAACAUGAAGCUACCAAAACAUUGAUUCAAGCUUUCAUAGAAUGACCUGUUUUCCUGGCUCAGGCAGCUUUUUGCAUUAAAAUCUGG
ensembl:lncRNA